rnacentral:rRNA from 1 species
AAUCCUGGCUCAGGAUGAACGCUAGCUACAGGCUUAACACAUGCAAGUCGAGGGGCAGCAUGAACUUAGCUUGCUAAGUUUGAUGGCGACCGGCGCACGGGUGAGUAACACGUAUCCAACCUGCCGAUGACUCGGGGAUAGCCUUUCGAAAGAAAGAUUAAUACCCGAUGGCAUAGUUCUUCCGCAUGGUAGAACUAUUAAAGAAUUUCGGUCAUCGAUGGGGAUGCGUUCCAUUAGGCAG